rnacentral:lncRNA from 1 species
UAACUAUUAUUAGGAAAUCUAGACGUGGUCCAAUAAAGUCACAAACAGGGAUUGUAAAAGGGAGACUCCAGUUGUAACACCCAAAAAGUGAAAACCGGUCAAACGGCUGUAACCAGAGAGAUCAUUACACGGCAGACGUCCUCCCAGGAACGUCUCCAGGGCGCCCUCAUGCUUGUCCAGCGGGCGACCGAGCGCCGAGCGCCGCAGUUUGCUGAGCUCCUCGGCCGCACGGCAGUACUGGGCCUGCUCCUCGCCGCCGCUCGGGUACGUCUGCUGGAUGAACUUCACCAGCGGCUUGGCCAGGUCCACCUCCGAGGUCUUCUUCAGCUGCACCCAGAUGAACGACGCCAUGGUGAGCGCCCGGCCGCCGCGUCGGGCCGCACAGACGGAGGGACAGCGACCACGGCCUAGGCGCGCUCGGCACCGGCAGCGGAGGAGCGGACCGACGGGCCGACGGACUGGGCCGCCAGCGCUUCGAGCUGGCCACUUCCGGGAGCCCCCGCGCAGGCGCAGUCGGAGGGGCGCGCCGCUCGGUCACGUGAUGGUGCCACCAAAGCGUCGCUCACCUGGGCUCGCCUGUGCGGCGCCUGCGUGGUGGGAUCAGGCGGUAGCCUACUGCGAUGAUUAAAUUUUCAAAAAGAUUCUUUUGGUUAUUUUGGUUUGGUUUGGUUGUUUUGUUCGAGACUGGGUUUCUCUGUGUAGCCCUGGCUAUCUUGGAACUGACUUGUAGUCCAAGCCGGCCUCGAACGACCAGACCCUGGGGAGUAUUGUGAUGUGCGGUUGAAGGUCCAUUGUGUGUGCAGCCUUACCCCCACCCCCACCCCCCAGGGCAAAAGUAGAAAAAGUCCCUGCCUUCGUGCAGUCUUCCAGGGGUUCCAAAUCUUCUGUGUACCCAGGCGCCUCCGGUGUCUGGCUGGGAGUUGUGAACGGGGUCUGAUGGUUCCCUUCUAUGUAGCCCUGGCUGCUGUCCUUGAACUCCAUAUGUAGAUCAGAUUUGAAGCAGAAGAAGUGAAGAGCAUCAAAGAUGCUAGAUCAACAGUUCAGGCUGAUGGACAGAGUGAUGUCAGCUGAGAGAGACGCAAGUGCUGAGGCAAGACCUGUGGAGGACACGUGAUGUUUGAAGGGAAUAUAAAAAGGACUCAUCGGACAGUGAUGGAGGCUGGGCUUGGCUUGCUUGCAUACCUGAACUGUUGAUCUAGCAUCUUUGAUGCUCUUCACUCUUUGCUCGGUGGAGAUAGACACAGCUGAGAACUGCUCCUGACAUCUCUGCUGGUCCGAAUCCCUCCUGCCUGGCUGUUCCUGCUAGGUCGUGCCACCUGCUGCUAUCCCGACACUAAUGAACUGAACUGCUGGUGUAUCCGUGAAGUGUUUGUGAGUGGAUCGAGCUGCCACUGCUGACCUGUGAACUGAACUGCUGAUUUCCUGACAA